AACGAACGCUGGCGGCAUGCCUAAUACAUGCAAGUCGAACGAGAUCUUCGGAUCUAGUGGCGCACGGGUGCGUAACGCGUGGGAAUCUGCCCUUGGGUUCGGAAUAACCUCUGGAAACGGAAGCUAAUACCGGAUGAUGACGUAAGUCCAAAGAUUUAUCGCCCAAGGAUGAGCCCGCGUAGGAUUAGGUAGUUGGUGAGGUAAAGGCUCACCAAGCCGACGAUCCUUAGCUGGUCUGAGAGGAUGAUCAGCCACACUGGGACUGAGACACGGCCCAGCCUAGCGCGGGCGGCAGCAGUAGGGAUUCUGGCACGAUGGGAGAACGCUUAAUCCAGCCAUGCGGCGUGGUUGUUGAAGGCCUUAGGUUUGUCAUGUUCUGUCACCCGGGAUAAUAAUGACAGUACCGGGAAAAUAACCUCCGGCUAACGCCGGCCCGGCGGCCGCGGUAAUAAUCGGAAGAGCCAACGUCUGACC
rnacentral:rRNA from 1 species